AAUAAAAUGCCUGAAUAUAGGAUUAUCUUGAUAGGAUAAAAUAUGUGAAAUUUUUCACUUUUAUUA
rnacentral:tRNA from 1 species